rnacentral:tRNA from 1 species
GCCCGGGUGGCUCAGUCAGUUGGGCAUCUGUCUUCAGCUCAGGUCAUGAUCUCGCGGUUCGUGGGUUGGAGUCCCGCAUCGGGCU